rnacentral:rRNA from 1 species
CUGUGGAUGAGCAUGCGGUUGAUUAGCUAGUUGGCGGGGUAAAGGCCCACCAAGGCGAUGAUCAAUAGGGGACCUGAGAGGGUGAUCCCCCCACACUGGCACUGAGAUACGGGCCAGACUCCUACGGGAGGCAGCAGGUAGGGAAUAUUGGACAAUGGGUGUAAGCCUGAUCCAGCCAUGCCGCGUGCAGGAAGAAGGCCUUCUGGGUUGUAAACUGCUUUUGCCGGGGGAUAAAAGAUCCAUGCGUGGAGAAUUGAAGGUACCCGGUGAAUAAGCCACGGCUAACUACGUG